ensembl:lncRNA
CUCAGAUUGUGGGGUCAACAUGACUCCAGUUCAUAAAUUAAUGUCUUGUAAAAUAAGAAAAUUCAUUAUUAUGGUGUUAAUUUUAAACCACUGUUUCUUUGCAGAGUCCAUACACCAUAAUAAUGCUUCCUUCAGUGAGCAAACUCUAUACACUGUUGUCCUCUGACAUCAAAAUCCACUGACAGAUGUUUUGGGCUGUUUAAUCUGUGCAUAUUUCUCUCCUAAUUCAGACUUUUCACCGGAGAAAGCAAUAUUAUGGAUAGAGGACUCAUUUUAGCCAAAGAUGUUAAUUGAUGGACUGGAGUCAUGCGGAUAAUUUAUGGAUUAUUGUGAUGUUUUUAUCAGCUGUUUGGACUGUCAUUCUGACGGCACCCAUUCACUGCAGAGGAGCCACUGGUGAGCGUCGUGAUGUAAUGCUAAAUUUCUCAAAAUCUGUUCCUUAGAAGAAACAAUCUCAUCUAUGUCUUGGAUGGCUGGAGGGUGAGUAAAUCUUUAGCAAAUUUUCAUUUUUGAAAACUAUUCCUUGAGGAGAAAAAUUUAUCAUUUUCUUUCCAGUGUCCACAAGCAAGCGGUUUAAGACAUUCUGAUGAAAGAUUGAUUUCAAGAGGCACCUAAACCUGAAAACAGGCGGUAUGAUAUUUCAUCAGAGGACAUUUGUCUAAAGCAGCCUCUUUUUGUGACACAGCAUGGCAAAGUGCUCUGAUUUACUUGGCAUUUCAGCAGACUACAUCCAAAACGGGACCGAAUGCAUUAUGUGAAUGACUCUCUCUUCCCCAGAGCUGUGGACAGACCCUGUCAGUACAAUGAUAUAGCUGGCCCGAUCUCCCUCUCAUGUCCACUCACAUCAGUACAGACAGGGAGAGAGAAGCUCUUGUUGACUCUUCAGGCCAUUUCUGUGGACAACAAGCCAAAUAAUCAACAGAAGUGUCAUCGCUGAAGGAAUGGCAGACGUUACUCAGACACUUGUGAACACUAAACAGUGCUCGGAGUCCAAGACAGUGAAAUCAUCUUUAUUAUACUUCUGACUAAACUAGCAAGGAGCAUUAGAACCAAUGAGAAAGUAAGUUCAAGUAAAAUGUCUGCAUUGACCAUUUCACCAUGUUAUUUUCAGCAGUAACUGCGGGGAAUAUUUACUGAAGAGACUUGAUCAACAGCAAGCUUUGGAUCCACUUAAUGUGUAUUUUUAAAGCAUUUUAUUGCAGCGUUCAGUGUUAUAUUUCUGCAUAGUGAUGACUGGUGAAAAGUGUUUAUUAAUUUACUUCAGUGUAUAGUUAACCAGAAAUCUGUCAUUUACGUUUUACCAAACCUCUGACUUUUGUUUUUCUGCAGAACUCAAAAGAAGAUAAUUUGAAGAAUGCUGGUAAUCAAACCCAAAGUUUGUCAGGUAUGGACAGUAUGAAGGGGACUAAAUGAUUUUCAUUUUUUUGGAUGAACUCUCUUUAAUUAGCAUGCUACACACUAAAUAUUAAUCAUGCUGGGCACAGCCACUUAUUGUGCUGUCAUUGCAGUAAGUGCUGUAAAUAGUCUGUCAAAUAACAGGUACAUUGCUACAACAUACAUUUAAUGUAGUUCACACUGAUGCAUUACGUUAGACCUUUACUAAUAGAUACUUGCAUAGAAAUGAAAGCUCCCAAACAAAGAUGUCACCGGAUUAAGAAGUGGAAAGACAUGUUACACCACCACAACCAUAAAUCCUGAGCGAUUUGAAAAUUGGCAACAACCAAGAAAAAGUACUCAUUGUUUCACUCAGAAAUUAUCAAUGGUAAUAGUUGUAAAUGAUUAGAUAGAUAAAUAAAAGUACAAAAUGUUUUUAAUUUUAAAACCGU